rnacentral:rRNA from 1 species
UACGUAGGGGGCAAGCGUUAUCCGGAUUUACUGGGUGUAAAGGGAGCGUAGACGGCAGAGCAAGUCGGGUGUUAAAUCUACCGGCUCAACUGGUAGUCGCACUCAAAACUGCUAUUCUUGAGUGAAGUAGAGGCAGGCGGAAUUCCUAGUGUAGCGGUGAAAUGCGUAGAUAUUAGGAGGAACACCAGUGGCGAGGGCGGCCUGCUGGGCUUUUACUGACACUGAGGCUCGAAAGUGUGGGGAGCAAACAGG